UCAGACUCUAUGUUGAGUGGACAGAGCAGAAGGAGGUAAACUAGGCUGAGGCAGGACUGGCUUCAGAUAAUGGGUAAUCGUGUGGAGAAAGAAGAGAACCAAGCAGAGUCUCUAGUCUCCGGCUGUCUGUCUAUGAAGAGUGAUCGGUCCAAACGUCGUCCUCUGAACUUCAGUAAUGAACCUGGACCCUCAGACACAAAAGUUCAGUACAGACAGAGAGCAGAGUCUCCAGUAUCCAGCUGUCUGUCUAUGAAGAGUGAUCGGUCCAAAGGUCAACCUCCAUUCUUCAGUAAUGAACCUGGACCCUCAGA